AUGCGGUCCUCGAGCCUCCCGGGCGCUCGGUCACCGCGCCGAAACGGGAGCGGGCACAGUCGCCACCGCCUACCGCCGGGCCGCCUCAGAACAGGAAGCCGUGCGCCGACCGCGGAAGCCCGCCCCCAUGUAGCGAGAAGUCCGCCGACCCCAGGGACAGGAGCGAGGGGCGGGGAGAGGCGGGGAUGGGGGGGAAGCAGGGCGGCCCCGCAGAGGGGAAGCUGCGCCUCCGCAAACGCUCAGAAGCAGCUUCGCCAGACAGCCGCAACGUACAUGUUGACUGCCCGAGGCGGAAGUCGAUCGGCAGAGCGGAAGGGGGACCUGCAAAGGACCUUCAGACAGAAUAACACUUGCUUUUCUUGUCCUCGAAGAAACGGUUGUCAUCAUCGUAACCUAGUAAGUUACAACUGA
rnacentral:lncRNA from 1 species